GAUUUUUGAUAAUUCAAACUUUUUUGUUAAUUAUCAAGAAUGUCCACCAAAUCAAUAACAGAAGUACAAAUAGAAACUGCUGAAACUUUAGAAAAUAUUGCAAUCAUGUCCGAAAAAAUCAAACAAGAAUUCAGAAUAAUAAAAGAAAUAAUAAAGGAGGAUGGGCCUUUGAACAAUUCAAUAAAUAAUUGCAACCUGACUUUCUGUCACAUUCU